rnacentral:tRNA from 1 species
GCCGGGGUGCCCGAGCGGCCCAAGGGGACGGGCUGGAGACCCGUUGCUCCACCAGGGGCGCGUGGGUUCAAAUCCCACCCCCGGCG